rnacentral:rRNA from 1 species
CCAUGCAGUCGGACGGUAGCACAGAGAGCUUGCUCUCGGGUGACGAGUGGCGGACGGGUGAGUAAUGUCUGGGGAUCUGCCCGAUAGAGGGGGAUAACCACUGGAAACGGUGGCUAAUACCGCAUAACGUCGCAAGACCAAAGAGGGGGACCUUCGGGCCUCUCACUAUCGGAUGAACCCAGAUGGGAUUAGCUAGUAGGCGGGGUAAUGGCCCACCUAGGCGACGAUCCCUAGCUGGUCUGAGAGGAUGACCAGCCACACUGGAACUGAGACACGGUCCAGACUCCUACGGGAGGCAGCAGUGGGGAAUAUUGCACAAUGGGCGCAAGCCUGAUGCAGCCAUGCCGCGUGUAUGAAGAAGGCCUUCGGGUUGUAAAGUACUUUCAGCGGGGAGGAAGGCGAUGCGGUUAAUAACCGCGUCGAUUGACGUUACCCGCAGAAGAAGCACCGGCUAACUCCGUGCCAGCAGCCGCGGUAAUACGGAGGGUGCAAGCGUUAAUCGGAAUUACUGGGCGUAAAGCGCACGCAGGCGGUCUGUUAAGUCAGAUGUGAAAUCCCCGGGCUUAACCUGGGAACUGCAUUUGAAACUGGCAGGCUUGAGUCUUGUAGAGGGGGGUAGAAUUCCA